GGGGGUGUAGCUCACUUGGUAGAGCGUCGCAAUGGCAUUGCGAAGGUAAGGGGUUCGAUCCCCCUCACCUCCACCA
rnacentral:tRNA from 3 species